rnacentral:rRNA from 1 species
GUCAGAGGCGAUGAAGGGCGUGCUAAUCUGCGAUAAGCGCCGGUAAGGUGAUAUGAACCGUUAUAACCGGCGAUACCCGAAUGGGGAAACCCAGUGUGACUCGUCACACUAUCAUUAACUGAAUCCAUAGGUUAAUGAGGCGAACCGGGGGAACUGAAACAUCUAAGUACCCCGAGGAAAAGAAAUCAACCGAGAUUCCCCCAGUAGCGGCGAGCGAACGGGGAGGAGCCCAGAGCCUGAAUCAGCAUGUGUGUUAGUGGAAGCGUCUGGAAAGGCGCGCGAUACAGGGUGACAGCCCCGUACACAAAAGCGCAUGUGCUGUGAGCUCGAUGAGUAGGGCGGGACACGUGGUAUCCUGUCUGAAUAUGGGGGGACCAUCCUCCAAGGCUAAAUACUCCUGACUGACCGAUAGUGAACCAGUACCGUGAGGGAAAGGCGAAAAGAACCCCGGCGAGGGGAGUGAAAAAGAACCUGAAACCGUGUACGUACAAGCAGUGGGAGCACAGGUUUACCUGUGUGACUGCGUACCUUUUGUAUAAUGGGUCAGCGACUUAUAUUCUGUAGCAAGGUUAACCGCAUAGGGGAGCCGGAGGGAAACCGAGUCUUAACCGGGCGUUAAGUUGCAGGGUAUAGACCCGAAACCCGGUGAUCUAGCCAUGGGCAGGUUGAAGGUUGGGUAACACUAACUGGAGGACCGAACCGACUAAUG